UGCGGAGACCGGCGGCGGGCCGGGGUAGGGAGAGCCGUUCCCCUCCUCACCCUGCCUGCGGCGGCGGCCGGCUCGCCACCUGCCCACGGAGCUCGAGGCGCCGAGAGUUUCGGAGCCCGGCGCCAUCGCCCUCCGCCUGUUCGCAGCCCCGUACGGAGCUCGGCUCGCCGCUCUCCGUCUGCCCGGAACCCCUGAGUGCCGGGCCCGAAGUGGCCCGCGAGGCCGGUGCCCAGGUGCCUCCCCGACUCCGGCGAACCGAGCGGCGGCCGAACCACCUGAGAGCCCCGUUGCGGCUGCCUCCCCGGCCAUCUUGUGCGGUGUGUGUGAGGCAGAGUCUGUCUCUCCCGUCUUCUCUCAACUCCUUCCUCCCCUCCCCCCGCACAACAUGGCCGCCAGAGUCAGUACUCACUGCGGCGGGGAAGGGGCUGGGCCUGCGCUUCUACCCCCUGCCUAUCGCUCAUCCCCCCACUUCCUGCCUUCUGCGCGUGCGCCAACCACUGCUCUCUACUGGCCGCGCAGCUCCCUCCCCUCCGGGCCCAGCGCGCGCCGAUUCAAUUGGCCGCGCUUCUCUCUCCUUCCUCCCCCAUCCUGGGCCCGCGCGCAACUCAGCUGCCGCUCCCUAUUGGGCGCGCGUCUUACUGGUCUUUCCACCGCAACCCCAACGGUCGCAGCACAGUAUGGUUCAUCAAGCCCCUGAAAAGGUAUAAACUAAAUCAGGAGCUACUCUUUGAUCUGUGCCACUAGAUUUCCCUUUCAUCUUUGUUUCUAAUGGCCUCCACAAUGUAACAUUGUAGUGUAUAAAUAUGCUACACCCUAACCGAAUUAAAGUGAUGAAGCUUGAACAAAUGCACAAAAAUGAGCUUGCAGGAUUGAAAAAGUGGGGAAGCUGGACACAUUGCUAAGGCUUUACCCACAUUCGGAAAGGAAGUAUCUGCAAACAGGAUCUUUUACCAACCCCCACCUCUAUCGGUAAAUACCUCUUGUAGAGUCACAGGAGUGUUCUGCUAAACUGGGAGAGGCUCAUCAUUUUAUCAGGAGUCCAAAGAGUACUUGGCAACGAUAAGGGAUCCAUGCCCAAGUUAUGAACUAACUUUGCCAGUGGAAAGGAGAGAGAAUGCAAAAGCAGAGAUUAGCCUGAUUAUAUAUAAGAGGAGGCUGAUGAGGAAAUAACUACCUCAGAGUUACUCUUAAGAAGUAGCAGUAGUGAAAAGGAAGCACUGUUAACUUGAGGGCUGGCAGAGAAAUUGAGAAAUGAAUCUGCAAUGUUCAUGCAGGCCAGAUGACAGUGAAGGGAAGGAAGAGCAAAAUGGAUGAGCUACGAAAGGAACACUAUAUAUAUUUCAUUUAC